AAAUUGAAGAGUUUGAUCAUGGCUCAGAUUGAACGCUGGCGGCAGGCCUAACACAUGCAAGUCGAACGGUAACAGGAAGCAGCUUGCUGCUUUGCUGACGAGUGGCGGACGGGUGAGUAAUGUCUGGGAGACUGCCUGAUGGAGGGGGAUAACUACUGGAAACGGUGGCUAAUACCGCAUAACGUCGCAAGACCAAAGAGGGGGACCUUCGGGCCUCUUGCCAUCAGAUGUGCCCAGAUGGGAUUAGCUUGUUGGUGAGGUAACGGCUCACCAAGGCGACGAUCCCUAGCUGGUCUGAGAGGAUGACCAGCCACACUGGAACUGAGACACGGUCCAGACUCCUACGGGAGGCAGCAGUGGGGAAUAUUGCACAAUGGGCGCAAGCCUGAUGCAGCCAUGCCGCGUGUAUGAAGAAGGCCUUCGGGUUGUAAAGUACUUUCAGCGGGGAGGAAGGUGUUG
rnacentral:rRNA from 1 species